rnacentral:rRNA from 1 species
UACAGAGGUCUCAAGCGUUGUUCGGAUUCAUUGAGCGUAAAGGGUGCGUAGGCGGCGCGGUAAGUCGGGUGUGAAAUCUCGGAGCUUAACUCCGAAACUGCAUUCGAUACUGCCGUGCUUGAGGACUGGAGAGGAGACUGGAAUUUACGGUGUAGCGGUGAAAUGCGCAGAUAUCAGGAGGAACACCGGUGGCGAAGGCGGGUCCCUGGACAACACCUGACACUGAGGCACGAAAGCUAGGGGAGCAAACAGG